UACGUAGGGUGCGAGCGUUAAUCGGAAUUACUGGGCGUAAAGUGUGCGCAGGCGGCCGAGCAAGUCGAGUGUGAAAGCCCCGAGCUUAACUUGGGAAUUGCGCUCGAAACUACUUGGCUGGAGUGUGGCAGAGGAAGGUGGAAUUCCAGGUGUAGCGGUGAAAUGCGUAGAGAUCUGGAGGAACACCGAUGGCGAAGGCAGCCUCCUGGACCAACACUGACACUGAGGAGCGAAAGCCAGGGGAGCAAACGGG
rnacentral:rRNA from 1 species